UCUUUUCAUUUAAUAGAUUCUAAAUCUACGGACCAUAGAUGUACGAGAAUAUUCUCGUACAUGAACCUAAUCCGUUCACCACAAUUUCUUGCCCAAGCAGAAACUGUAAACCCCCUUGGGCUACAGCGGCUGCAAACCCCCUUGUAGUCAUCUCGGUUUUUUUUUUUUUUUUUUGGUUGAAAAAUCAGAUCUACUUUUAGUAAACCUCAAAAUUCCAGAAAACACAACAACAAUUCAAAGAUUAUUAGAUGUAGCAGAAUAUCGAUUGAUCUAGGUUUUCCAUGGAAUAGAGAUUCUAGUAUCUAGACAUUUAAAAAUUAGCAGAGGGUAGAAGUUCUUCUCUACAAUUGAGACGAUGGAGACGCCACAGACACAACGCAGGAAUAAGAUGACGAAACAUAUGUUGAAUGCAUCUUCUGGCUUGGGAGUUGCUGAUCACAGUAAAAAUACAUUUUUGGAACUAAAGAGGAAGAAGGUAACGUGUAGCUGUGUAGCUUUCAUAUGAUGAACAUCGCCGAAGAGAAAGCCUUCUUCACAUAGCAGUAGGCGGAAUCCCCUACUUCUCUGAAACCUACAGAAGGGGAUCGUUUCUUGGGUGGUCUCGGAAAACAAUUUGGAGUUCCCUUCUUCUAUUUAGUUUCACUACAACUUUUGCAAGUUUCUGCCAAAUAGUUGAUUUGUUGCUCUAUGUUGUGUUCUUAUUUUGUGAUGGAGGAUGACGUUCUUAAUUUUCUACAAUGAAGUUUGUGCUUUUCCUCUCCGAAUUAAGGUAGAUCUCGAUGAAUAUCGCUUAUGCUGAUGGUGUUUGGUGAAUCUUUACGAAGAUUUUUACUUUAGUGCAGUAGUAUUUGUUGUC